rnacentral:rRNA from 1 species
UACGAAGGGGGCUAGCGUUGCUCGGAAUCACUGGGCGUAAAGCGCACGUAGGCGGCCAACUAAGUCAGACGUGAAAUCCCUCGGCUUAACCGGGGAACUGCAUCUGAUACUGGAUGGCUUGAGAUUGGGAGAGGGAUGCGGAAUUCCAGGUGUAGCGGUGAAAUGCGUAGAUAUCUGGAGGAACACCGGUGGCGAAGGCGGCAUCCUGGACCAACACUGACGCUGAGGAGCGAAAGCCAGGGGAGCAAACGGG